rnacentral:rRNA from 1 species
UUUGAUCCUGGCUCAGGAUGAACGCUAGCUACAGGCUUAACACAUGCAAGUCGAGGGGCAGCAUGGUCUUAGCUUGCUAAGACUGAUGGCGACCGGCGCACGGGUGAGUAACACGUAUCCAACCUGCCGUCUACUCUUGGACAGCCUUCUGAAAGGAAGAUUAAUACAAGAUGGCAUCAUGAGUCCGCAUGUUCACAUGAUUAAAGGUAUUCCGGUAGACGAUGGGGAUGCGUUCCAUUAGAUAGUAGGCGGGGUAACGGCCCACCUAGUCUUCGAUGGAUAGGGGUUCUGAGAGGAAGGUCCCCCACAUUGGAACUGAGACACGGUCCAAACUCCUACGGGAGGCAGCAGUGAGGAAUAUUGGUCAAUGGGCGAGAGCCUGAACCAGCCAAGUAGCGUGAAGGAUGACUGCCCUAUGGGUUGUAAACUUCUUUUAUAAAGGAAUAAAGUCGGGUAUGCAUACCCGUUUGCAUGUACUUUAUGAAUAAGGAUCGGCUAACUCCGUGCCAGCAGCCGCGGUAAUACGGAGGAUCCGAGCGUUAUCCGGAUUUAUUGGGUUUAAAGGGAGCGUAGAUGGAUGUUUAAGUCAGUUGUGAAAGUUUGCGGCUCAACCGUAAAAUUGCAGUUGAUACUGGAUAUCUUGAGUGCAGUUGAGGCAGGCGGAAUUCGUGGUGUAGCGGUGAAAUGCUUAGAUAUCACGAAGAACUCCGAUUGCGAAGGCAGCCUGCUAAGCUGCAACUGACAUUGAGGCUCGAAAGUGUGGGUAUCAAACAGGAUUAGAUACCCUGGUAGUCCACACGGUAAACGAUGAAUACUCGCUGUUUGCGAUAUACUGCAAGCGGCCAAGCGAAAGCGUUAAGUAUUCCACCUGGGGAGUACGCCGGCAACGGUGAAACUCAAAGGAAUUGACGGGGGCCCGCACAAGCGGAGGAACAUGUGGUUUAAUUCGAUGAUACGCGAGGAACCUUACCCGGGCUUAAAUUGCAGAUGAAUUACGGUGAAAGCCGUAAGCCGCAAGGCAUCUGUGAAGGUGCUGCAUGGUUGUCGUCAGCUCGUGCCGUGAGGUGUCGGCUUAAGUGCCAUAACGAGCGCAACCCUUGUUGUCAGUUACUAACAGGUUCCGCUGAGGACUCUGACAAGACUGCCAUCGUAAGAUGUGAGGAAGGUGGGGAUGACGUCAAAUCAGCACGGCCCUUACGUCCGGGGCUACACACGUGUUACAAUGGGGGGUACAGAGGGCCGCUACCACGCGAGUGGAUGCCAAUCCCCAAAACCUCUCUCAGUUCGGACUGGAGUCUGCAACCCGACUCCACGAAGCUGGAUUCGCUAGUAAUCGCGCAUCAGCCACGGCGCGGUGAAUACGUUCCCGGGCCUUGUACACACCGCCCGUCAAGCCAUGGGAGCCGGGGGUACCUGAAGUGCGUAACCGCGAGGAGCGCCCUAGGGUAAAACUGGUGACUGGGGCUAAGUCGUAACAAGGUAACC